rnacentral:pre_miRNA from 1 species
CAUGUACUCCCUCCGUUCCACAAUACAUGACUUCCAUUUGUUAAAAUAUAGAUGUAUCUAGACAUGUUUUAGUAUAUAGGAACAUCCAUUUUUGGACAAAUGGAAGUCAAGUAUUUUGGAACGGAGGGAGUAAGUU